rnacentral:rRNA from 1 species
AUACGGAGGAUCCGAGCGUUAUCCGGAUUUAUUGGGUUUAAAGGGUGCGCAGGCGGCCAUUUAAGUCAGCGGUUAAAUCGUGGGGCUCAACCCCAUUCUGCCGUUGAUACUGGGUGGCUUGAUUGCGGUCGAGGUUGGCGGAAUUCGUUGUGUAGCGGUGAAAUGCAUAGAUAUGACGAAGAACACCGAUUGCGUAGGCAGCUGACCAGACCGCAAAUGACGCUCAUGCACGAAAGUGCGGGGAUCGAACAGGAUUAGAUACCCUGGUAGUCCGCACAGUAAACGAUGAAUACUUGUUUUCGGCGAUAUAAUGUCGGAGGCAAAGCGAAAGCGAUAAGUAUUCCGCCUGGGGAGUACGCCGGCAACGGUGAAACUUAAAGGAAUUGACGGGG